ACACCUGCGAAUCGUAAUCAGAAAGAAAUUGAUGGGCAUAUUAUACCUACGGAUCAGGACGUCCUGCAGAAACAUGUUGCUUUCUUUGAUAGGAAUCAUGACGGCGUGAUUUAUCCUUGGGAAACUUUUCAAGGUUUUCGUGCGAUUGGGAGUGGGCUCUUUCUGUCAACCGUCUCUGCCUUUUUCAUAAACUUUGGUCUCAGCCGGAAAACUCGUCCUGAAUUUGACCACUUGUGACUCCUUUUGGCCGUGGCUGAAAAAGUUGUGUACCCCCAAAAGUCAGCGAAGCAGUAGAAAAACAAAAGAACAAUGAUCCAUAAUAAAGUUAUGAAAUUGCCACCUUAAUUGAUGGGUUUCAGAGUGUAUAUGGAAUAGUCUACUGACAAUAGCCCAAGUGAUACUUUGAUCUGCUUUUCUGUUGGUCUAUCUGUACCAAAUGGGAAAUUUCCUUCUCUCCUCUUUCCAAUUGAGGUUAAAAACAUUCAAAGAGCCAAACACGGGAGUGACUCUGGUGUAUAUGACUCUGAAGGAAGGUUUGUUCCUUUGAAGUUUGAAGAAAUUUUCAGCAAGCACGCUCUUACCUACCCAAAUUCUUUAACAUCAGAUGAACUGAUGCGGAUGCUGAAGGCUAACAGGGCUCCCAAGGACUAUAGUGGAUGGCUUGCAAGCUAUACAGAGUGGAAGGUCCUAUAUAUCCUCUGCAAGGACAAGAAUGGCUUACUGCCAAAGGAAACAAUUAAAGCUGUUUAUGAUGGAAGCUUGUUUGAACGGAUGGAGAAGGAAAGAUUGUCUGCGAAAAAGAAAGCGUAAUUUAACUAUCAUUUCAGAUUAUGGAAUUAUAAAAUAAUCUUUUUGAAUCGUUAUUUUUCAUGUAUACCCUUUUAGAUGAAUUGUAUGAAGCAGUACAUGUUUUUAAAUUUGAUGCAGUGUUGUGUAACUAAAUGCAUGCCCAGUAUGCUAAUCUGGUCUUCCGGGGCUUGCUUAUCGAUUCAACAGUCUAGUUUAAAAGUUUGUCAUUGGUUCAACUUGUGGGUGUGUUUGAUGAGUUGUUGAAUGUAAAGUGAGUUCAAGUUGGUUAUGUUGGUUGAUAUCUGGAAUAAUUUGAUCUACUGGAUUGGUAUGCAUGGGGGACAAUUUGGAUUAAUCAGAACAGUUGGGAGAAUUUGUGCAGAGGAUGACUUUCCAGAAGACUUUCAAGUACAAGUUCAGGAGUUCAAAUCUGUGGAGCAUUUGGCAUUGAAUAGAGUUUGUUGGUGUAAUAUUCUUAGUUAUCAAGUACAAAUUCAUAUCUUAUUGACUAGCUUUUUGUUUAUAAGGUGUGGGGUGUGAAGUAGUGAAUAGUGACUGAUGAGAAUUAUUCAAAAAUCAAAACACAAUACUUCAGUUUAUGUUUAUGGCAGAUCUCCGCAUUAAUAAUGUGUUUAGUGAGUCAAAUAAGUGGGUUGAACGUUCCUUUUUUUUCUUUUCCCACAUAUUAAUGUAUAUACCUUUGUAAAGGUGACCAAAUGUUAAAGGAUGGUGCGUAAUAAAGCCUAGUAAAAAUUUUAGAGUGCA